rnacentral:lncRNA from 1 species
GAUUAUCCGGGCUUAGGUUUUGCUAAAUUGAAAUACACUGAUGCAUAUCUCCUACUAAUUCGGAGGGGUCAAUCUCAUCUUGACUCAUGCACCGACUUGACAAGUAUUUGACUGCACCCAGAAACCUUCUAUCACUGAAUUAGAAACUUAGUUAGUUUGGCACCAAAAUAUAGUGAGUUGCUUGCAAGUCACCGUGGUGAUC